ncrna:unclassified sequences IS605-orfB-I RNA
UCUGCAUAAAUUUGUAUCUAACCAAGAGAUUCGAGCAAAUCACUUUGUGGAAGUUUAAAUUAGUAACAAUAAUUUGAAAUUGCUAAAGAUUUACAUAUAAAUGAAAUUUCAAAUUAUUUGGAUAACCGUAUGUCCUUUAGUUUUUUAUACUAUAAAAAUAACUUUGUAUAACUUUGCAAAUUACGGUGAC